rnacentral:rRNA from 1 species
GAUGAACGCUGGCGGCGUGCCUAAUACAUGCAAGUCGAGCGAACGGACGAGAAGCUUGCUUCUCUGAUGUUAGCGGCGGACGGGUGAGUAACACGUGGAUAACCUACCUAUAAGACUGGGAUAACUUCGGGAAACCGGAGCUAAUACCGGAUAAUAUUUUGAACCGCAUGGUUCAAAAGUGAAAGACGGUCUUGCUGUCACUUAUAGAUGGAUCCGCGCUGCAUUAGCUAGUUGGUAAGGUAACGGCUUACCAAGGCAACGAUGCAUAGCCGACCUGAGAGGGUGGUAGGCCACAUGAGAACUGAGACACGGACCAGACUCCUAAGGGAGGCAGCAGAAGGGAAUGUUCCGCAAUGGGCGAAAGCAUGACGGAGCAAGGCGGCGUGAGAGAUGAAGGUGCUCGGAGCGUAAAACUCUGUUACGAGUGAAGAACAUAUGUGUAAGUAACUGUGCACAUCUUGACGGUACCGAAUAAGAAAGCACCGGCUAACUACGUG